UCAUUUUGGACUUUUAUAAAC
rnacentral:miRNA from 1 species